rnacentral:rRNA from 1 species
CCUGGUUGAUCCUGCCAGUAGUCAUAUGCUUGUCUCAAAGAUUAAGCCAUGCAUGUCUAAGUUCAAGCAAAAAUAAUGUGAAACCGCGAAUGGCUCAUUAUAUCAGUUAUGGUUCCUUAGAUCGCACUUACUACUUGGAUAACUGUGGUAAUUCUAGAGCUAAUACAUGCGUUGGACUCCGAACUUUACGGUGAGGAGUGCUUUUAUUAGAUCAAAGCCAAUCGGGUCUUCGGAUUCGUUUAGUUGGUGACUCUGAAUAACUUUGCUGAUCGCACGGUCUUGCACCGGCGACGUAUCUUUCAAGUGUCUGCCUUAUCAACUGUCGAUGGUAGGUUAUGCGCCUACCAUGGUUGUAACGGGUAACGGGGAAUCAGGGUUCGAUUCCGGAGAGGGAGCCUGAGAAACGGCUACCACAUCCAAGGAAGGCAGCAGGCGCGCAAAUUACCCACUCCCGGCACGGGGAGGUAGUGACGAAAAAUAACGAUACGGAACUCAUACGAGGCUCCGUAAUCGGAAUGAGUACACUUUAAAUCCUUUAACGAGGAUCUAUUGGAGGGCAAGUCUGGUGCCAGCAGCCGCGGUAAUUCCAGCUCCAAUAGCGUAUAUUAAAGUUGUUGUGGUUAAAAAGCUCGUAGUUGGAUCUCGGUUUCGGGUGAAUGGUGCACCUUGCGGUGUUUACUAUUUAUUCGGACGAUUUUGUUGGUUCGUUCCUGGUUCUCUUAAUCGAGUGCCUUGAGUGGCCAACACGUUUACUUUGAAAAAAUUGGAGUGCUCAAAGCAGGCGCUACAGCCUGAACAUUAGUGCAUGGAAUAAUGGAAUAGGAUCUCGGUUCUAUUUCGUUGGCUUUCGGAGUCGAGGUAAUGAUUAAUAGGGACAGACGGGGGCAUUCGUACUGCGACGUUAGAGGUGAAAUUCUUGGAUCGUCGCAAGACGAACUACUGCGAAAGCAUUUGCCAAGAAUGUUUUCAUUAAUCAAGAACGAAAGUUAGAGGUUCGAAGGCGAUCAGAUACCGCCCUAGUUCUAACCAUAAACGAUGUCGACCGGCAAUCUGCUCUCGUUAAAUUAAUGACUGAGCAGGCGGCCUGCUGGAAACAAGAGUAUUUGGAUUCCAGGGGGAGUAUGGUUGCAAAGCUGAAACUUAAAAGAAUUGACGGAAGGGCACCUCCAGGAGUGGAGCCUGCGGCUUAAUUUGACCCAACACGGGAAAUCUCACCAGGCCCGGACACCGGAAGGAUUGACAGAUUGAGAGCUCUUUCUUGAUUCGGUGGGUGGUGGUGCAUGGCCGUUCUUAGUUGGUGGAGCGAUUUGUCUGGUUAAUUCCGAUAACGAACGAGACUCUGGCCUACUAAAUAGACGUCAAAUCUUGA